rnacentral:rRNA from 1 species
UGAGCAAUCUGCCCUUCUCAUCGGAAUAAGCGUUGGAAACGACGUCUAAUGCCGAAUACGACCUCCUUUCGCAUGAUCGGAGGUGGAAAGCUCCGGCGGAGAAGGAUGAGCUCGCGGCCUAUCAGCUAGUUGGUGUGGGUAAUGGCCCACAAGGCGACGACGGGUAGCUGGUCUGAGAGGAUGGCCAGCCCACAGUUGGGACUGAGACACGGCCCAGAUCCCGUAACGGGG